rnacentral:rRNA from 1 species
UACGUAGGGGGCAAGCGUUGUCCGGAUUUAUUGGGCGUAAAGAGCGUGUAGGCGGCCAAGCAGGUCAGCUGUGAAAACUCGAGGCUCAACCUCGAGACGUCGGUUGAAACCGCUUGGCUAGAGUCCGGAAGAGGAGAGUGGAAUUCCCGGUGUAGCGGUGAAAUGCGCAGAUAUCAGGAGGAACACCGGUGGCGAAGGCAGCUCGCUGGGACGGUACUGACGCUGAGACGCGAAAGCGUGGGGAGCAAACAGG